rnacentral:rRNA from 1 species
UACGAGGGGGGCAAGCGUUGUUCGGAAUUAUUGGGCGUAAAGGGUGCGUAGGCGGUUUUGUAAGUCUUGUGUGAAAUCUUCAGGCUCAACUUGAAGACUGCACGAGAAACUGCAGGGCUUGAGUGUGGGAGAGGUGAGUGGAAUUCCUGGUGUAGCGGUGAAAUGCGUAGAUAUCAGGAGGAACACCUGUGGCGAAAGCGGCUCACUGGACCACAACUGACGCUGAGGCGCGAAAGCUAGGGGAGCAAACAGG